UGGACACCCGCCGGUCAGUGCAUUUCCGUGUGUCACGGUUGGGAUGUCACGGUUUCAUGUGCCCCCCCCCCCCCCGGUCCGCAGUCGGCGCCGUCAGACUCGACGGACACCCCCGACAACAGACGUCUCCAGCGACGCGUCUCCGACCGUCAUCGAGUACCGCCACGUCGACACACUGCCGGAGCAGGUGCAGCACGUCCAGACGGCCCGAUUCCGUCUCCAGUACGGCCGAUCGGUGCUGGAGCACCUGGAGGGGAUCGGCACCGACUGGCUGUGACCGGCCGAGGCCGUCCAACGACGCCGAUGGAGGAUGGACCGGCCGACGCCCGCAACGAGCGGCGCCAUGCGCGUGCCAGCGCUGUGGCCAGCAGCUGGCCGAGCACUCCAGGAGCAGAUCGUGCACGUGCACACGGUGCACAAGGACAGGGGCUGGUACAGACGGUGCCGGACCGAGUUUCCCGAUCAACGGUCCAGCCUGGAGCACCGCGCCCGGUGUCGGCGGACCAACGGUCAGGUGGGUCACUGACCUAAGACGUCACAAGUGAACCUCUGCACGGUCCUAAAAUGUCGC